rnacentral:ncRNA from 1 species
GUUCAAAAGAGGAAAGGCUUGCGGUGGAUACCUAGGCACCCAGAGACGAGGAAGGGCGUAGCAAGCGACGAAAUGCUUCGGGGAGUUGAAAAUAACAAUAGAUCCGGAGAUUCCCAAAUAGGUCAACCUUUUAAACUGCCUGCUGAAUCCAUGAGCAGGCAAGAGACAACCUGGCGAACUGAAACAUCUUAGUAGCCAGAGGAAAAGAAAGCAAAAGCGAUUCCCGUAGUAGCGGCGAGCGGAAAGGG